rnacentral:rRNA from 1 species
AGAGUUUGAUCCUGGCUCAGGAUGAACGCUGGCGGCGUGCCUAACACAUGCAAGUCGAACGGAGUUCUUAAGGAAUGCGACUUCGGUCAAAUGACUUUUGAACUUAGUGGCGGACGGGUGAGUAACGCGUGAGCAACCUGCCUUUCAGAGGGGGAUAACAUUUGGAAACAGAUGCUAAUACCGCAUAAGAUUACAGUACCGCAUGAUACAGUGAUCAAAGGAGCAAUCCGCUGAAAGAUGGGCUCGCGUCCGAUUAGAUAGUUGGUGAGGUAACGGCUCACCAAGUCGACGAUCGGUAGCCGGACUGAGAGGUUGAACGGCCACAUUGGGACUGAGACACGGCCCAGACUCCUACGGGAGGCAGCAGUGGGGAAUAUUGCACAAUGGGCGAAAGCCUGAUGCAGCAACGCCGCGUGAGGGAAGACGGUUUUCGGAUUGUAAACCUCUGUUUUCGGUGACGAACAAAUGACGGUAACCGAGUAGGAAGCCACGGCUAACUACGUGCCAGCAGCCGCGGUAAUACGUAGGUGGCAAGCGUUAUCCGGAAUUACUGGGUGUAAAGGGAGCGCAGGCGGGAUAGCAAGUCAGCUGUGAAAACUAUGGGCUCAACCCAUAAACUGCAGUUGAAACUGUUAUUCUUGAGUGGAGUAGAGGCAAGCGGAAUUCCGAGUGUAGCGGUGAAAUGCGUAGAUAUUCGGAGGAACACCAGUGGCGAAGGCGGCUUGCUGGGCUCUAACUGACGCUGAGGCUCGAAAGUGUGGGGAGCAAACAGGAUUAGAUACCCUGGUAGUCCACACUGUAAACGAUGAUUGCUAGGUGUGGGGGGUCUGACCCCCUCCGUGCCGGAGUUAACGCAAUAAGCAAUCCACCUGGGGAGU